UACGAAGGGGGCUAGCGUUGUUCGGAAUCACUGGGCGUAAAGCGCCCGUAGGCGGACUUUUAAGUCCGGUGUGAAAGCCUGAGGCUCAACCUCAGAACUGCCCUUGAUACUGGGAGUCUUGAGUAUGGUAGAGGUUGGUGGAACAGCAAGUGUAGAGGUGAAAUUCGUAGAUAUUUGCUAGAACACCAGUGGCGAAGGCGGCCAACUGGACCAUAACUGACGCUGAGGUGCGAAAGCGUGGGGAGCAAACAGG
rnacentral:rRNA from 1 species